UGCCUGAAAUAUUGGUUUCUAGGGUUUUCCUCUUCUCCAUCUGAGAGAGACCUCAAGCGCGCCGCACGUACCCUGAAAGACCCUGCUGCGAUCUUCCCGUGCAUCAGAUCAGAUGGAUUCAGUUGCAGUUGACCAAUCAUCCAUUAAGAAACAGAAGAAGCAUAAGGAAGACCUAUCAGGCUGCUUCUUUUGCAAGGGUGAAGGUCAUAUGAAGGAGGAUUGUACUGAGUAUCACGCAUGGCGUGAAAUGGAGGGUACACUUCUCACUUUGGUUUGUUUUGAAGUUAAUUUAACUUUAGUACCCAGAAACAUUUCGUGGGUAGAUUCAGUGUUACUACUCACAUAGUGUCUAUGCAAGGCUACCUAAAUUGUCGAACGCCAAAUGAUGCUGAAAGAUUCAUCUAUGUGGGCGAUGGCAAGAAGGCGAAGGUUGAAGCCAUAGCAGAUUUUUGGUUAUUGUUAAAAACUGAUUGCUAUUUGAAUUUGACAGAAACUUAUGUGGUACCAUCUUUUAGAUGGAAUUUGGUUCUUAUUUCCUCAUUGAACAAGUUUGGUUAUUAUUGUUCAUUUGGAGGAAGUAAAUUUAAGUUGUUUCUGUACUCAAAUUUGAUUGUCACUAAUUCUUUGUCUAGUAGCGAUAACCUUUAUUUGCUUGAUAUGGUUGCUUCAUAUAAUGAAAUCUUGCAUGGUGGUACUAAAAGUAAAAUUAGCAAAUUGGAAUUCUAUUAUGUUGUGGCAUUGGCACUUAGGACAUAUCUCUGAAAAGAGAAUAUAAAGCCUUAUGUCAAAAGGAAUUCUUGAGUCCCUUGAUUUUGCAGACUUUAAUGUUUGCAUUGAAUGUAUAAAGAGAAAAUGAACAAACAUUAAGGGAUUAUAAGUUUUAUAAUCCAUUCAGUAAGUCUUUCUUUGAAAAGGGAAAUGCCCAUUUCUUUGAGGAUAUUGAGUUUGGGGAGGUGAUCAGGUUAGAAUCAUUGCCUUUGAAGAGGGACCUUAGUCCACUCUAUUCAGAAGAAGACAAUGAUGUCGAUCUCCAUACUGAAGAACAAACUCAACAACCUCAAGAAAAUCAAGUACAGAUGUCACUGAGGAGAUCCACUAGAAAGAGGAGAAAUACAAUUUUAAAUUAUUUUGUCUAUCUCCAAGAACAUGAUGUUGAUAUGGGCUUAAUGGAGAUGAUCCUGUCAACCUCCAGUAAGCAAUAAAGAGUUCUAAAUCUCUUGAGUUGAUGGAUGCCAUGAAUGAGAAAAUAAAGUCCAUGAUGGAUAAUGACGUACGGGAAGUUGUUCCCUUGCCUGAAGGUGUGAAACUCAUUGGUUGUAAAUGGAUAUUUAAAACCAAGAGGGAUUCAUUAGGUAACAUCGAAAGGUAUAAGGUACAUCUUGUCGCUAAGGGCUUUACUCAAAAGGAAGACAUUGAUUAUACAGAGACUUUCUCUCAAGUUUCGUCGAAAGACUCUUUCAGGACCAUAAUGACACUUGUGGCUCAUUUUGACUUAGAGCUGCAUCAUAUGGAUGUUAAGAAAACGUUUCUAAAUGGAGACAUUGAUGAAACGGUAUAUAUCGUGCAACCAGAAAACUUUGCUUUAGGUGAUGCAAAGAAAAUGGUCUGCAAACUCAAGAAAUCCAUCUAUGGGCUAAAGCAAGCUUUUCGUCAGUGGUAUUACAAGUUUCAUCAAGUUAUAGUUUCAUUUGGUUUCGAAACUAAUAUGGUUGAUGAAUGUGUAUAUCAAAACUUCAGUGGGGCAAAUUUAUCUUUUUGGUUUUAUAUGUCAAUGAUAUAUUGCUGAAUAGUAAUGAUGUGGGCAUAUUGCAUGAAACUAAGAAUUUUUGUCAACACAAUUUGACAUGAAGGAUCUUGGUUGUGCAUCUUUUGUAUUGGGGAUCCAAAUAUUUCGAGAUCAUUCUCGGGGUAUUCUUGGAUUAUCACAAAAUGGACUACAUUGAUAAGGUGCUUCAGUGAUUUGACAUGAAAGAUUGUAAACCAGAAGAUACUCCAGUUGCUAAUAGAGACAAGUUUAGUCUCAAACAGUGCCCUAAAAGUGAAAUCGAAUCUAAGGAAAUUGAAAGGAUUCCCUAUUCGUCUGUUGUGGGAAACCUUAUUUAUGUUCAGGUUUGUACUCGUUUGGAUAUUGCAUUUAUCAUUGAAAUGUUAGGCAGAUACUUAAAUGAUCCUGGUAUGGGUCAUUGGAAAGCAGCCAAAAGAGUUUUGAUGUACUUAAAAGAACAUAAGAUUUUAUGCUCACAUACAGGAAGUCAGACCAGUGGGAGAUCAUUGGGUAUUUAGAUUCUGACUUUGCUGGGUGCCAAGAUAAUGACAUUCAAUCAGGUUUUGUGAUUGUGGAAUUUUGUCAUGAGGCUGCACAUUAUGUAUGGUAUAAAAAGACCACUAAGGUUGUUGCGUGACAAUAAUUCAGCAGUCAUGUACUCUUAUAACAGCCCCAGUUUGUCAAAGUCGAAGCACAUCGACAUUAAGUUUUGGGCUGUUAAAGAGAUGAUACAGAAUGGUCAGGUGUCUUUAGAGCAUAUUGAGACAAACUCUAUGAUUUGCGGAUCCGCUUGCCAAGGGUUUAACACAUAAGGUCUUUCACGAACAUGUUGUUCGUAUCAGGGUGUUAUCAUUGGAUGAUGUGCUGGUUUAGUGGGAGUUUGUAUUUUGUUUGCUCUAAUGUAUGGACACAUAUUCAGUUUUCUGCAAAAUAAAGUUUAAAGUUCUUUGGUUCCAUUCUGUGUCUAUGUUUUGAUCUCCAUAAAGUUUUAAAGUUGGACCAGUUGAGAAUAGACAUGUUGUAAUCACAUCGCAUGUAAUUCUCAUGCUAUACAUCCAUAUCAGAUCUAUGUCAUUGGUUAUGUUAACAUUUGUGAUCAUUGAAGGUUUAACUAACUUUUGAUAUAGCGAAAGCCGCUUUGGUUUUGUGUUGAUAUGAUCAUGGACGAGAUUGGUGAAAUGACGUUUAAUAAGAUAACAGUUAUGAGCUCUUAAGGUUUUGUAUAAUGUCUGAAUGUAUUAAGACAUAUUUGGCCCAAGUGGGAGAUUGUAAGAUCAUUUGGUGGUUCUGCAUAUGUCUAUGAGGUAUUUCAGACAUUAUGGCUGUCUUAGCGUAAAUAUCCGCUUAAGUGAUUGCAUUUUGGGAUAUUACGUCAUUUUAGAUGGUAUGGGGUAAUUUUGAAAUGUAUAGAUACCAGUACGCAAUUACGGACUCUUUGAUGGGUUGAAUCCGUAAUUGUCCUCAUUAUAAAAUGGUAGUGGUCCCUGGGGUCGUGCAAGGGUUGCCUGAAACAUUGGUUUCUAGGGUUUUCCUCUUCUCCAUCUGAGAGAGACCUCAAGCGCGCCGCACGUACCCUGGAAGACCCUGCUGCGAUCUUCCCGUGCAUCAGAUCAGAUGGAUUCAGGUACGCUUUCGCUUUAAGUUUAAGGUUAUGUUUGAUUCAAUGAUUUAGCAUGAGCAUGAUCUUGUUUAGGGCAUAUGCGCUUUGGUUUUGUAUAUGCGUUAUGGGGAGAAAUCCCAACAGUUGUUUGUUCGACAUGUAUGCACGGCUCUAGCCAGUGAAUCUAAAUACCUAGCAAGUCGGCUUCAAAACCGGAUCUGGUACAGCAAAGGUGAUACAAUGCCCAGAACGGAUUUGAUCCAUUUUAGUUACAUAUUUUUCAAAUAUUGUUAAUUUUUUUAAUUGUCUUUGAAUUUUCUUAUAUUUUCUGUUUUCUAGAAAUAUGUGCAUAUAAUAAUUUUUUUUGCUGGUUCAUUGACAAAUCAGCUGAAUGGAUGCACGUUGCACGGCCACAAGUCGCAUCAUAGGGAUAGGUAUAUCAGUAGUUUAGGGCAAAUGAGCAUCUGAGGAGAUCUUCAUGAAGAAGAUAACCCUUUUCCUAUAGCUUAUUCCCAUAGAAGCCGUAUUCCAGUCUCAGUAAAACUAGAAUUAUAGAUUUUGUUAUUUACAUGUGAAGAAACUUUUGUUCUGUUAGCAUGUCUUUUUUUUUUUUUUCGUUUAAUAAAUAAACUGCUUAGGGAGUUGCUGCUGCUCUUGAAUUUAAUAUUUGGAUACUGCAAAGUUUGGUUAUAGCAAUAAUAGCCAGGCAAUAUAGGGACCCUAUAGCAAACGUAACCCAAAAAGGAUGAAAGUAACAAGAUUCUAGUUGGCCCAUGCGCAGAUUGCUGAAGUUCUCUGCCAAUUCGAUUCUUUCACCAAAUUUCUUUAAAGUGUUUGCUAGACAAUCAUCAAUAAGACAGGAGGAAUCACUCUCUCAAGUAGGACCUUUGUUGUAAUAGAAUUUAGCAAAAUUCUGUGGUUGCCAUCAGCAGAAACAUGUUGGAUGACCAAAAUCUCCUCUCAAGCUGAUGUCUGUUCGUUUAUCUGCGGAACGUUGUGAAUAAAGCAGCACUACAAUCAGACUCUCAGUAAGCUCCACUAACGAGGGAACCAUUUACUCAGAAAUCUCAUUUCUAUUUCUUGAGGAAGUUACGUGUUAACAGGAUAAAGCAACAUUGUUAGUUCUUCUCAACGAUGGUCAUUAAUUUUUGCAAGGUAAAUCAUAUUUAGAGGUGCCUGCUUGAUGCUAAUAGAUUCAUUGUUGCCAUAGCAAACAUUUCUGCAUCCGAGAGGACUACGAUGCUCCUGAUGCCACUACUGAGUCACCAGUAAUUUCCACAAGAACACUCGCCACCUCUGAAAUGAUCCUUAGAUUCUUCAAGGCCCUAACUGGAGAAUCCACAGGCAAUUUCAGAAGCGCUUACCCAAUGGCCAGCUUCUCACUGUGAGUCGACAGGCUCUAUCCUUUCUCGUUGAGUUUCACAUCAUGCAACACAAACUUUAUAUCAGGUAUAUAAUAACCCAACUUCCUGAUCGCUGCACCCAACAUAUCAGAUAUAUAACUUACUAGCUCAGCUUGAGAUGAUAAUUCCUCCUCAUUCCGAAGACAUGAGUAGGGGGAGGACGCAACCUUUUGUCUCAUCCACUUUAGCUCUUACCCAAACUUCGGGUGGAAAAUAAGGUCCCGCCCACCCGCCCGCGACAAAAACAAAUCCACACCUUAAAAGUUUGGUGGGCACCGGUAGGUACCAAACUUUGGGUUGCAAAUAAGGUCUCUCUCACACAUACGCAUAUUAGGAGUUAUAUAUAUAUAUAUGAAAAAUUAAGUUAAAAAUAUAGAAGUCAAAGAGUUUGAAAUGAUCCUUAAAAAGGUGUUUGAUGACCUUGAAUUUUUAAUCUAGAGUUAAAAGCUUAGAAGCAAAAUUUCACCUUAAAUUGAAAUUGAAAGGAAAAUUCUGGUUCUAGUUUUCAUUUAUGUUUGAUGGUUUGCAAUUUUGAUUCUAGAAUUGGAAAUGAUGAGUACAUUUGAUAGAGUAUGAUUUAAAAUUCUAAAAUUCAUAAAACCCUUCACAAUUUAAAAAAAAAAGAUAAAAAAAUUAAAAUUCUGGAAUCAUAAUUCCAUCCUAUAGGUUGAAAUCAAAUUCUUGUUUGAUAAACACAAUUUUUAUGUCAUUAAAAAUUUGAAUUUAAGUUUUAGAAUUCCACAAUUUCUGUUGCCCCUCUGAAAGAGGCAAGGAGUUUAGUUUAAAGACACUCAUUUCUUUCCUCUCUUUUCUCUCUCCUCCGAUGAAGGGCAUUUGGGUCCCUUAAAGUGAACAACCACUACAAAAAAAAAAAAAAGAUUUAUGAUGGUUGAGAAACGUCAGUAAAAAUAAUCAUAGUAUUAUUACUGACGGUAGAUUUCCUCUAUUAAGAGUCAUUUUUCCUUUGGCUGCUUAAGUGCAAUUUUCUCUACCGCGCUCUGGUGAAAGGCUCCUUCAUCAAAAGCUGUUGUAGUGAAACAAUUAUUAUGGUAUUUAAAAAUGUUUAAAAUGAUCAUUUCCCUUUUCAAAUAUGUAGAGUGUUUGGAAAGACUUAGAGGUGAAUUAAUAAAGGGAUUAAUCUAAAUGAUUAUUUCCCUUUUCUUUUUCCCCACGUUUUCGAAAAUCGUUGAAAAAUUUCAACCUUGGCCCUUAUCAUCUUUGAAAAAAGCAUUUACAUGUCAAUAUUUUGGAAACUUUCACAUGUUAUACAUUAUGUUAACUCGUUAUCAGUUUUAUUUUUUACGAUAUUGCAUAUGUAAUAUUUUCGAUACUAUUCUUCUAAUGAUUUUUGGUUUAAAAUAUAAAAGUCAAAGAGUCUGAUUCAUAUAUUUAAAACUUUAUUCUACCUGGAAAUUUACAACCUAGGUGAUUCAUAUUAAAUGUAACAAAUAAAAGUCUGGUAGCUAUAUAUUAAAUCUUCUCAACUGCUCUGGUGAAAGGGCUCUUCCUCUAAAACUGUUCUAGUGAGAUAAUUAUUAUAGCAGUAAAAAUGUUUUUAAAUGAUCAUUUCUUUUUUGUUUUAAAAUAUGUGGAGUGUUUGGAGAAACUUGAUGCGAAUUAUUGGAGGAGUAACUUAAAACAUGUAUUCUGAG